GCCGGCCUCAAGGAGCGAAAUGUGGUAAAGGCCUCUGGGGUCCUGAGGUUUCAUGUCUUUGACUACUUUACUGUCUUCUUUGGGCAUAAUGAUGAGGAUUACUCUGAGUUUUACCUCUCUAAUCUAACAAUGGCCAUCCAUCUUCAUCAUUACACGGCCAUUGCUGUUUCUCUCACAUAGAGAGACGUUUGGUGGCCCUGUAGGGUUGCGCCAUAAUCUUUUGGUUUCUCGAACUUUUCUAUCUCUUUUUUUGUCGAUUAAUUAAACAGCUGUGUGAUAUCCUUAUUUUCCCAGCUGUAUGAAAUCCAGAUUAUUUCUUAUGUGAACUAUGAAGGAUUCUUUUAUUUGCAUGUGUUCAUUUGUUUAACAAAUACUCAACAAUAGUUGAAAAGUGCACAUUAAUUCAACCACUCAGAAAAUACCAGCAACCUCCACCCUCCCCCUAAUACAACAAAAUGUAUUGUCACUAUACCAGCAACUUUUCUUCAGAGUUGUCCACUUGCUGAUGUGGUAACAUACUGGACCUGGAUGAUCCGAUAAUAUAAGUCUACCAUAGCCAUAUUACAAACUCCCCACCCCUACUAGUACCACUGGAUGCUCUUGUAACUCUUCUGACAACAGACAGUCCUCCUCUUCUUGUUAUGUGCCCCCUUUUGUCUGCCAAGCAUGCCCACCACUCACAUCCAGCUCACAUCCAGUCUGCGUGUUCAUGUCCUCACUCAGCCAACGGCUCUCGAUCACUCUCCGUCGCCUCAUUCUGUCCAGAUCCAUCCUGUCCCUUUGCUGUCACUCAGUCAGCGGGCAGCUCGUUGACUGUUGCAUGACUUCUUCACUUUGUUUCAGUAUGAGGGGAUUGUAGAUCUUAGAUUGUCUGACUAGUUUGUGGUUUCUCCCCCCCCCCCCCCCCCACUCCUCGCUGUGUUCUCAACCAUCAAAAGUUGAAAAGGAAGAGCUCUUCAUGGUGGGUGACGGCGUUUAAUAAGGAUAUUAAUGAUGUCACGGCUGGUGACAUCAUCAGUGUGCCAGCCAGCAGACCAAAAGAGGGCUCUGCCCGGUCUUCCUAGCUGUCUUGGAGAGAGAGAGAGAGAGAGAGAGAGAGAGGGAGAGAGAGAGGGAGAGAGAGAGAGAGAGAUUCGGCUUUCACUUUAAUUCUGCCUCUCUAUUCACAUAUUCAAAUUUUCCUGUGUGAGCAUUUUUGAUUUGUUCUGCCGACUUUGUAUCUCUAUUAAAGCACUCCGUCAGUUCGUGCAGGAUAUCCAGUGAUUUGGCUCCCCACCCCAAAUCUUCGCCGCUAUUUAAAAUGUAUUGUUUUCACAAAGAUGCCUGUGCCCAGCCUCUGUUGUCUCUCUCCUCUCUCUCUGCUCCCCUCUCUUCACUGUCUCUCUCCAUCUCUUCCUCCCUCACCCUUGCUUUCUUUCUCCCUCGCCUACAUCUCUAUCUGUCCUCUUACAGGACUCGGAGAGAAAGGGCUUCAUGAACAAGCUUUAUGCCAUUCAGGACGUGUGCAUCAGUGUGCAGAAUGCACUGGAUGAAGUGGCCUCCUAUGGCGAGAGGAUAAAGAACACAUUCAACUGGACUGUGCCUUUCUUAAGCUGGCUGGCCAUUGUGGCUUUCGGAGCAGCCACCAUCACCAUCUACUAUAUCCCUCUACGAUACAUUGUGCUAGCCUGGGGGGUGAAUAAAUUCACCAAGAAGCUGCGGGACCCUUACACUAUUGAUAACAACGAGCUGCUAGACUUUUUGUCCAGAGUGCCCUCAGAUGUACAAGUGGUGGGUGAACUUUCCAAUUUCAUCUGUGUCUCAUCUCUGAUAUCUUUUUGACAGCACAUCGGUCAGUCCCAGACAUGGGCAAGGGUUAGGGCUCCUUUUAUUAUCUCCUCUAUCUAACUCUUUCUCCUUUCUUUAUUUUUCCUCCUCUCAGCCGUUGGCGCCUCACUGUUGUACUUUUCAUGUAGGGUGAACUGACUAUCCAUUCUUUAAGCCAUGCAGACAUCUAAUCUAAUUGUUUCAAAGUCGUUCCUGUGUUUUCCUAUUAAUAGCUUCCUAGUCUAAUUCAAUUUCCACAUACAUAGCUGGAGCUGUGUAAUAAGAUAACGAGGUUAAGUGAGUUUAGUGCCCAGCAUAUAACUAGGUUGAUUGACUCCAUACACUCGCACACAAUUACAGUUAGCUGUUGUUUCCCAGCUAUGCUAGUAAUUGGAACGGAGUGUAAACCAACAGUUAACCAGCCCCAUGCGGUUUUGCUUCUACAUUAACCGUGAGAUCAGAUUAACUUUGUGGCUGAAGACUACAGAUGCUUCGUUAGGGAAAAUAUAGGUGUGUAGGCAUGUGUAGUUUGUGUGUGUUAACAGUAACGUGCUGUGCUGCUCAGGACAAAGUGCAGUUUAAACUGCAAUUAAGCGGCAGCUUGUGAAAGUCGUUGUGUUAUCCAGCACCGAUGGUGUCCGCUGUGGCCGUUAAGCCCUGCUGUGCUGAGUUCACUACACACGCACAUGAACGCACACUUAAACGCACAUGCAGGCUGAAGCUGACCCGGGGCCUCUGGUACGACCAAUCCCCUGCCACAUCAGCGCUGACACACUUCCUCUUUGAUCGCUUGUUGCCGCAACUUCUUUCAUCUUUACAGGGUCAUAAUCCUUGCUCCCCUACACACCCCCGCUAACCCCCCGUGUUCUCCCCCUUUCGGCCCCCGUGCAGUUUUACAGCUCCAUAGUUUACUGAGGCCUGCUGCAGCAGUAGGCACAAGGCAGGUAGCCACAGGGUUAAAUGAGCCUAAGCUGUCCCCUCUGGUGAAGUGCAGCCACCUUACACACCUGGAGACAGGGGGAGCGGAGCAGUGAAGGGGCCCAGGCCCGGCAGGUAUGAGGCCUUUACAAGGCCCCUAAUGAGGGCCUGCUGGCUAGGGAAGGUGGGGGCAGACAUGCUGCUCUGGUCUGGUGCCCGUGCUGCUGGAGUUGUGCCUACUGUAUAAGUUAUACUGUAAGUGCUACUGUAACAGUUAUUGCUGCAGUUGCUGGAAUGGUAAUUGUUGCCAGGUUUCACUGACAGUUCGUAGGCUUACCGAGUAAUGAGGGAAAGACCAAGGGAGAGGGGUAAGAAUAGAUUUCAGGGAGAAAAGAUGAGGAUGGAAAUGGAGACAGAAAGUACAAGUAGAGUUGAUUGAAUAUUGGAGAUGACUAGUUUCUUUAUUUAAAGCAGGGUAGCCUUGUUUGCAUUGAUAACAUAAGGUCAAUGAAAUUUAGAUUCACUGCUCAGUCAGCUGAUGAAGAACUGAGACCUGCACUGAUCACUUUCUCACUGAAUCCAAAGGUUAAUUUUCUGCGACGACACCCCGCUCGGCAGUCGUUGGCUAAAAACGGAGCAGAACGUUCUGCUCUGCGAUGCGUCCCUUCAGCUGCCUGCGAUGUUGGGUUCACCUCAUUGCCUGCCCCCGCCUUACUGGGUCAAAGCCGCCUGUGGGGAUCAAGCCCUUUAGGCUCUUGGAUGAUGCAGAGAGAUGCUGGGGUCCAAAUGGAGCGUCUCUUCCACGGGCACGUGUCCAUAGCACCCACUGGCAUUGGUGCUGGGGCCCACUAUGCCUGAUACUCUGGAUGACUAAUGAAGUGCUAUUUCAGGGACCCGGUGUGACCUAGCGCACAUACAUAACCACACACACACACACACACACGCUCUCCCAGUAGUAGUGCGUGUGAGGCAGGCUCGGGGUGUUUCAAUGCAGUGUUCCGCAUCAUUUAGAGGUGCUUCAGUGCAGCCAGAACUGAUGAGGUCCUAAUGACUUUAUAUAUAAAGGGCAUCCACACUGGGCCACAGUCCAUCAUAACGUAUGUCGCUGAACAGCACCACAGUAACUGGAGCAGCUUUAGGACUCUCAUAGUUUUCUCAUCUUUCAUUUCUCUUUAAUAGUGUACAUAAAAGAGUUUUUGCAUUUAACAAUACCAACUUCUCAUUGGUUGUACAGUUAACGGAAGGUACGUUAGUCUUGAAAACCAAGCUCUUUAAAUCAAUGACACUGGGCCCCUAACAGCUCUGUCAAACACCCUUUAAAAACUAAACUCUCAGUGGUGCAUGGGAGCUGCAACAGGCAAAGUUACCUUUUUUUACCACCUGAACAGUUUACUUAAAUCAUUAUGUCCCUGUGAGCAGCAAUGCUAAAGGCUGGCAUGGUAUGUGUAGUGCAUGUCUGCGCGAGAGACUCGCUGUCCCUCCCUGGGUAACGGUUUCUUGUCGCUGGUUUGGCUCUUUUACCAGCGUUGGCUAUCGUUACGGUCAUUAUCAGGGAAUCCUUCAUGUCCUCUUAAACGAGGCAAAACUGAGCACCUUUAUAGAGCUGAGUAUUCCCUACCUGGCGUUUGGGAGGUGUCAGUGCACUAGUAUGUUUUACGACACCAUUAGCCAUGUGAGCUAGGGAGUGCGUAAGUAAGGCCAAGGCAAUUAGCAUGCCAAGUGGCCCUUUAUGGUGUAAGGGAGCUGGAUCAAACCCCCAGUACAAAAAUAAGCAUGCAUUCCAAUUUAGUGCCUAAUGAGCAGUGGGGAGUCAGGUUAAUAUUUUUAGAAAACAUUUAUGUUGGGGAUGAAGCCUCAUUGGACUUGAGGGUCAAAGGCAGGAUAGUUAAGAGGUGGAAACGUUGCCAGAUGCCAUCACUUACAUCUACCAGAGGUCUCUCUCUCCUCCGCUGUGUCCUUCCCCACUUUUGUGACAAAUUUAAACAUUCCACUGCAAGUGGCCUCUUAGUCACUAUUCAGUAUGUGUCGUGCCACAGCAGCUAAUAGGCAAAACUUUCUUUACUUAGUGGUUUUUUUUUUUGCUCACUGAUUUAUGUCACCUUGACAUGCCUUUCCUUUCCCAGCAAGUGCUGAAUCCUCCGAUGUGCAGAUGUGUGAACUAUACACAAUAGUGUUUCCCUGGAAACAUUUAAUAACCCUUAUGCUCCAUUAGGCGUCACAUGAGAUGAAACCCGCUGAGUUUUGUGCUCUGUGGAAAGGACUGGAAAACAGAAUAACAUAGUAUCAUUAAAAUGUUGCUCCCUUGCCUUUCUUGACUUGAGUUAUUUACUCGCCUAUUUGCUUUUUUUUUUUUUUUUUUUUUUGCUCACUGUCACCCACCUUGGUUUUGCCUCGCCUGUCUGCCCACACUGGCAUCAUCAAAACACAGUCAAAGGUUCAAUGUAAGAGGGAAUGAGAGACAGGGAGAGAGGAGCAGGUCCCGGGAUGCUUUGUGGGUAACACCGUUAAACGAAGCUCGGUACACAGCGCCCCUUCAGCAGAGCACACUUCAAAGCCUGUUUUGCACUUGUACUGUCAACAUUUGCGAGAGGAGAGGAGAGGAGCGAGGGUGGAGCAGCCUUUUUGAGCAGCGCUGGGUCUUUACCCACUGCCUCUCCUGUCGAUGUUCCCUUUAAGCUCCCCACUCGCGCUACCAAAUUGCUUAUGCGCUCUCCGCAUUACCACACUUUUUUUUUAACUUUCACCCAAUUCCGGUUUCUUUUAUUUUGCUAACGUCCCACUUUCUCCUCGCCUACUCUGCCUUUUCUUCUCUUCUUGCCUCCUUUUAACUAGCUCUUGUUGUCUGCAUGGGUUUGUGUGCUUCUGUGUGCGUGUGUUAUUAGGUGAGGUGAGCGGGGGAGCCAAGGGUAUAGCGUCAGGCGGGCCUGUCACCUGUAAGGUGCAAUUGAACCUGUGACGCAUGAGCUCCAUUUCUCUUGGCUGGCAGCUCUUCACAGAGAAAACUCAUGUUUGAUUGAGAUAUUGUUUUUUUUCCUGCACCCUUUGUUUUUGUCGAUCCCCUUCGCUACUCUUCAUGAGAAACAGAACCCUACUUUCUACUGACAUGCAAACUUUUCUUUGUUUUUUUCGGCGCUCACAAAUAGUUUUGUUUGGAGAGGAACGUCAACGCGCAGAAUUAAAUCGCUGUGUUCCUUUGUGCUGCUGUAGGCGUUUGGCCGUGUAAUGGGACCACUAACAGCCAGUGAUCCCGCACAAUACCUGUCCUACUUUUGGAUCCGUGGUAGAUGGCUUAACGCUGGCAGCCAACGAUGAGUGAGAAUGAGUUGCAUAUAGGAACAGAGUGUUUUUGUGAAUUUGCUUGCAAUUAUUUAAUAUUAACAGACAUGUCCUUGCAACUGCGAUACAUGGCGGAUGUGCUGUUACUCUUUCACUCAUGAGUGAAUUCAAUCAUUCAACCAUUCACUCACUUCUCCAUCCAUUGUCACCACUAUCAUUGAACAGUUAAUGUUGGCACCGUGCCAGGACUCUCAUGGUCCCCUAACCGAACUACAACUGUGCGCACGCACACACACACACACACACACACACACACACACACA